UUCGCCCGGGCGCUGCCCUCUGCCUGCUGUCCCCUGUGCUCCUGUUCCCCGUGGCUGCCCAGGGACAGCUUUUCACACUCUCUGUUGCCCUUGUCCUUGGGCAUCUCAGUGACUCGAAGGAAUUGGGUCUUGAGACACAGCCGAGCCUGUGAGCGCUGACCUGUGUAAAGAAGACACCAGAAUGAGAUGUCUCCACACACAGAGAGCUGCAGCCGAUGCCGGCCGGUGACUUGGGACUUGGAUGCUUAACAGGAGGCUCCCCCUCUCUUGGGAGGUAGAGAGCAGUGAGGAAGGGGACUCAGCCUCCAUGCCUCCCGCCAGCCCAGCUGCGCCCGAAUCACCUCCCUCCUGAAAGGAUGUCAGCCUCUGCUUGGACACCGUGGAGACAGGGCCCUCCUUGUGCUUCAGAAGCAUCAACGUGUCAGAAAAUCAUCUUCACGCCAAGUCUGGAAAAAAUGGCUUUGAGGUUGUGCACACAAAGGAAGGAGGGAGAGCCCCAGGUGUCGCGGAGGACCAUGCGGCUGACAGAGCCAGCAGGGCGGUGGCGUGUGAGCCGUGCUCUGGAUAUAUAAGGAUCUGACGCUGCUGGCAAUGUCUGAGCUCUAUGCUCGCCCAUCUGUCGGCUGCUAUCAUCACCGGGUGGGAUUAGCGGAGAUCCACUCUUUCAUAUUUAAAUCUUCACAAGAGAAUGAAUCACUUUUAUAAUAAAAGAAAAAGACCGU
rnacentral:lncRNA from 1 species